AGAGUUUGAUCCUGGCUCAGGAUGAACGCUAGCUACAGGCUUAACACAUGCAAGUCGAGGGGCAGCAUGGUCUUAGCUUGCUAAGGCCGAUGGCGACCGGCGCACGGGUGAGUAACACGUAUCCAACCUGCCGUCUACUCUUGGACAGCCUUCUGAAAGGAAGAUUAAUACAAGAUGGCAUCAUGAGUCCACAUGUUCACAUGAUUAAAGGUAUUCCGGUAGACGAUGGGGAUGCGUUCCAUUAGAUAGUAGGCGGGGUAACGGCCCACCUAGUCUUCGAUGGAUAGGGGUUCUGAGAGGAAGGUCCCCCACAUUGGAACUGAGACACGGUCCAAACUCCUACGGGAGGCAGCAGUGAGGAAUAUUGGUCAAUGGGCGAGAGCCUGAACCAGCCAAGUAGCGUGAAGGAUGACUGCCCUAUGGGUUGUAAACUUCUUUUAUAAAGGAAUAAAGUCGGGUAUGCAUACCCGUUUGCAUGUACUUUAUGAAUAAGGAUCGGCUAACUCCGUGCCAGCAGCCGCGGUAAUACGGAGGAUCCGAGCGUUAUCCGGAUUUAUUGGGUUUAAAGGGAGCGUAGAUGGAUGUUUAAGUCAGUUGUGAAAGUUUGCGGCUCAACCGUAAAAUUGCAGUUGAUACUGGAUAUCUUGAGUGCAGUUGAGGCAGGCGGAAUUCGUGGUGUAGCGGUGAAAUGCUUAGAUAUCACGAAGAACUCCGAUUGCGAAGGCAGCCUGCUAAGCUGCAACUGACAUUGAGGCUCGAAAGUGUGGGUAUCAAACAGGAUUAGAUACCCUGGUAGUCCACACGGUAAACGAUGAAUACUCGCUGUUUGCGAUACACAGUAAGCGGUACAGCGAAAGCGUUAAGUAUUCCACCUGGGGAGUACGCCGGCAACGGUGAAACUCAAAGGAAUUGACGGGGGCCCGCACAAGCGGAGGAACAUGUGGUUUAAUUCGAUGAUACGCGAGGAACCUUACCCGGGCUCAAACGACGGGGGACUACCGGUGAAAGCCGGUAUCCAGCAAUGGCCGCCGUCGAGGUGCUGCAUGGUUGUCGUCAGCUCGUGCCGUGAGGUGUCGGCUUAAGUGCCAUAACGAGCGCAACCCCUAUCGACAGUUACUAACAAGUAGUGUUGAGGACUCUGUCGAGACUGCCAGCGCAAGCUGCGAGGAAGGCGGGGAUGACGUCAAAUCAGCACGGCCCUUACGUCCGGGGCGACACACGUGUUACAAUGGCAGGAACAGAAGGCAGCAACAUAGCAAUAUGAAGCCAAUCCCCAAACCCUGCCUCAGUUCGGAUUGGAGUCUGCAACCCGACUCCAUGAAGCUGGAUUCGCUAGUAAUCGCGCAUCAGCCAUGGCGCGGUGAAUACGUUCCCGGGCCUUGUACUCACCGCCCGUCA
rnacentral:rRNA from 1 species